rnacentral:rRNA from 1 species
GGACUACCAGGGUAUCUAAUCCUGUUUGCUACCCACGCUUUCGUGUCUCAGCGUCAGUGAUGGUCCAGAAAGCCGUCUACACCGCAGGUGUUCCUCCUGAUAUCUACGCAUUUCACCGCUACACCAGGAAUUCCGCUUUCCUCUCCCAUACUCAAGCCCUCCAGUUUUCGGCGCACCCUCCCAGUUAAGCCGGGAGAUUUCACACCGAACAUAGAGAACCGCCUACACACUCUUUACGCCCAGUAAUUCCGAACAACGCUUGCUGCCUACGUAUUACCGCGGCGGCUGGCAC